UACGUAGGUGACAAGCGUUGUCCGGAUUUACUGGGCGUAAAGAGCGCGCAGGCGGUCGAUCAAGUCGAGUGUGAAAGCCCCCGGCUCAACUGGGGAGGGUCAUUCGAAACUGGUCGACUCGAAGGCAGGAGAGGGUAGUGGAAUUCCCGGUGUAGAGGUGAAAUUCGUAGAUAUCGGGAGGAACACCGGCGGCGAAAGCGGACUUCUGGACGAGGACUGACGCUGAGAUGCGAAAGCGUGGGGAGCAAACAGG
rnacentral:rRNA from 1 species